rnacentral:rRNA from 1 species
AGAGUUUGAUCCUGGCUCAGGAUGAACGCUGGCGGCGUGCUUAACACAUGCAAGUCGAACGAUUAAAGCGCCUUCGGGCGUGCAUAGAGUGGCGAACGGGUGAGUAACACGUGACCAACCUGCCUCACACACCGGGAUAACUACUGGAAACGGUAGCUAAUACCGGAUACUAUCCGGCCAACACAUGUUAGCCGGAUGAAAGCUCUCGCGGUGUGAGAUGGGGGUCGCGGCCCAUUAGGUAGUCGGCGGGGUAACGGCCCACCGAGCCUGCGAUGGGUAGCCGGACUGAGAGGUCGAUCGGCCACAUUGGGACUGAGAUACGGCCCAGACUCCUACGGGAGGCAGCAGUGGGGAAUAUUGCGCAAUGGGGGAAACCCUGACGCAGCAACGCCGCGUGCGGGAUGAAGGCUUUCGGGUUGUAAACCGCUUUCAGCAGGGAAGAUAGUGACGGUACCUGCAGAAGAAGCCCCGGCUAAAUACGUG